CGGACGGGUGAGUAAUGUCUGGGAAACUGCCCGAUGGAGGGGGAUAACUACUGGAAACGGUAGCUAAUACCGCAUAACGUCGCAAGACCAAAGAGGGGACCUUCGGGCCUCUUGCCAUCGGAUGUGCCCAGAUGGGAUUAGCUAGUAGGUGGGUAACGGCUCACCUAGGCGACGAUCCCUAGCUGGUCUGAGAGGAUGACCAGCCACACUGGAACUGAGACACGGUCCAG
rnacentral:rRNA from 1 species